UGGGGAAUAUUGGACAAUGGGCGCAAGCCCCAUCCAGCAAUACCGCGUGUGUGAAGAAGGCCUGAGGGUUGUAAAGCACUUUCAGCGAGGAGGAAGUUCAUGUGGUUAAUACCCAUAUGAAUUGACGUUACUCGCAGAAGAAGCACCGGCUAACUCUGUGCCAGCAGCCGCGGUAAUACAGAGGGUGCGAGCGUUAAUCGGAAUUACUGGGCGUAAAGGGCUCGUAGGCGGCUUAGCAAGUCGGUCGUGAAAUACCGGGGCUCAACCCCGGGAUGCCGAUCGAAACUGCUAUAGCUUGGGUCCGGUAGAGGAGAAUGGAAUUCCCGGUGUAGCGGUGAAAUGCGCAGAUAUCGGGAGGAACACCAACAGCGAAGGCAGUUCUCUGGGCCGGUACCGACGCUGAGGAGCGAAAGCGUGGGGAGCGAACAGGAUUAGAUACCCUGGUAGUCCACGCCGUAAACGUUGGGCACUAGGUGUGGCGGAUUCAUUAACGUCUGCCGUACCGUAGCUAACGCAUUAAGUGCCCCGCCUGGGGAGUACGGCCGCAAGGCUA
rnacentral:rRNA from 1 species